UCGAAUACACUUAACUCUGAAAAACUGUCUGCUGCAAGUGUGGAGAGGACACAUGUGAAUGUGUGGAAAGUGAUCAGAACUACUUUAGGAAUUUGGAAGUCCUGAGUGGAGAGGUUUCCUUUUAUUUGAGGUACAGACCUAACACCUGGACCCUGCUGUGUCUGCCCCUGGCUAUGUCUUCAAGGAAGUGCAAGGCUCAUUAGCUUGUUUUCCAACCUCAGAUGUGCUCAAUAUGCUCCCACACCAUGUCACCAUCCAGCACUGAGCCUGUCCAGUCAGCAAGACAUCCUACUCCUACAGUGUGCUCUACUUAAUCCAAGCAAUCAAUACUGACAACGCUGAGAAUCAGGAAAGAAAUGUCAGCAGGGAGGCCUUACCACGGGGCAGGAGAACUUUUCGCUGUCACAGAUGUGCGUCUCGCAGUGCAGCCAGACCUUGGACAGCUUGGGGAUGUUGCGGAAGCGGAAGGCGUUGAACUGGAACGUGGCCCGGUGCAGGUGAACAGCAGACUAAUAUCACUAAGCCUGUGAGUAUUUUGCCUGGAACUGCAAAGCACAGCUGUGUGAUUCUUCCUUCUCCUUGACUCUGCAGUUUGGCUCCUUCUUCCAUUGGUACCCUAAAGGUUACUUCAAGAUGAAGAGGACAGGACUCUCUCAAUUUGCUGCUGUUGGAACAGAACAUCAGUUUGCAGCUGAGUUUCCUUGAAGCCUUUGUGUGGCCUCUGGGUAUCUUUGACUCUUCCAGAAACUUUUGGGAGGACGUAACUUCCCCUUGACUUUCCCAUCAAGGUUCUUCAGCUAAGGACUUAACAUUCAUCAGUCUAAGAGCAUCUCAAAAUAACAGCUAAUUAUCCUACCCAACAUCCUACCAGGCUGUUUUCACGUAAUCCAGCUCUUGAAUCAUCUCCUCCAAUGUGAUUUCUAAGAUGACUCAAGCUCUGACUCCCCUCACUGCACAGACUCACGCUGGAAACAGUGAUCGAGAUGUGGGCUGCAGCAUUUUAUUCGGACUUUGCUUCUGUGAUCUGCUCCUUAUACAAAGAGAGUUACAAAAACACGGCAUGUAACACUGGAUUUCACUUUUCUGAUUGGAAGCUUUUCAGAGCUUCCCCUUUCAAUGCUUCCAACACCCCUGGGUGAAACCCUGAGUGUGGGACAUGGCCCUGCUGCCGAUCACCAGAUCAAAGAUACUGAACUGCUUAUUGCCAGAAACACAAACUUUAUACAAGUUGUACAUUUCAUGUUUGUACAUUUCAUAGUCGUACAUUUCUCACUCAUAAUAGUACAUUUCUUGCUCAUAUCUUAUUGUAUUUUUUAAUUUGAAAAGUGGUGUCUUUUAUUCCAACAGCCAUGUUGCACCAAAAAAAAAGUAUUUUUCCUUGCUAAAGGAGGAAAAUUCAGACUCAAAAUCCCUUCUGACCCACAAACUGCAGAGUGCUCUUCGUAAAAUACCAGCUCUAAUACUCCAGUGGUAUUCCCUGGAGGCGCUCAGCUGUGGGAACUAGGACAGCUCUCCUGUGCAUGCAGCACUUAGGUUUCUGUCUAUCACAUCUUACACAUUUUCUUUUAUGUGUGAAAGGCAGUUGUAAUUCUUACAAUUCUCAUUUGUAAUAAUUUUCAAAACAACAUCUAGAAGGAAGACCUCAAGGGGAAAAUUAACACCUUGCGCUACUUUAAGCAGAGUAUUUGCAUUUGUAAAAACAGUAUCUUUUAUUUUAUCACUUUAUUCCUUUAUUGCACUGCUAUGAUUUGGACAUUAAAGGAGAAAUGCAGGCACGA